UGGGGAAUUUUGGACAAUGGGCGAAAGCCUGAUCCAGCAAUGCCGCGUGUGUGAAGAAGGCCUUCGGGUUGUAAAGCACUUUUGUCCGGAAAGAAAUCCUUGGCUCUAAUACAGUCGGGGGAUGACGGUACCGGAGGAAUAAGCACCGGCUAACUACGUGCCAGCAGCCGCGGUAAUACGUAGGGUGCAAGCGUUAAUCGGAAUUACUGGGCGUAAAGCGUGCGCAGGCGGUUUGCUAAGACCGAUGUGAAAUCCCCGGGCUCAACCUGGGAACUGCAUUGGUGACUGGCAGGCUAGAGUAUGGCAGAGGGGGGUAGAAUUCCACGUGUAGCAGUGAAAUGCGUAGAGAUGUGGAGGAAUACCGAUGGCGAAGGCAGCCCCCUGGGCCAAUACUGACGCUCAUGCACGAAAAGCGUGGGGAGCAAACAGGAUUAGAUACCCUGGUAGUCCACGCCCUAAAACGAUGUCAACUAGUUGUUGGGGAUUCAUUUCCUUAGUAACGUAGCUAACGCGUGAAGUUGACCGCCUGGGGAGUACGGUCGCAAGAUUAAAACUCAAAGGAAUUGACGGGGUCAUAGCUGUUUCCU
rnacentral:rRNA from 1 species